AAUCAACGCUGGCGGCGUGCCUAACACAUGCAAGUCGAGCGAGAAAAGGGGGGCAACUCCCUGAGUAAAGCGGCGCACGGGUGAGUAACACGUGGGUAAUCUGCCCUGGAGUGGGGAAUAACACCGGGAAACCGGUGCUAAUACCGCAUACGAUAGCGAGGUCUUCGGACUUUGUUAUGAAAGGAGCAAUUCGCUCCAGGAGGAGCCCGCGGCUGAUUAGCUAGUUGGUGAGGUAACGGCUCACCAAGGCUACGAUCAGUAUCCGGUCUGAGAGGACGGGCGGACACACGGGAACUGAGACACGGUCCAGACUCCUACGGGAGGCAGCAGUGGGGAAUUUUUGGCAAUGGGGGCAACCCUGACCAAGCAACGCCGCGUGGGUGAUGAAGUCUCUUGGGACGUAAAACCCUUUCGACAGGGACGAAAGCCGCAAGGUUUGACGGUACCUGUAGAAGAAGCCCCGGCUAACUCCGUGCCAGCCGCCGCGGUAAGAC
rnacentral:rRNA from 1 species